rnacentral:rRNA from 1 species
AACGAACGCUGGCGGCAUGCCUAACACAUGCAAGUCGAACGAGGCCUUCGGGUCUAGUGGCGCACGGGUGCGUAACGCGUGGGAACCUGCCCUUAGGUUCGGAAUAACUCCCCGAAAGGGGUGCUAAUACCGGAUAAUGUCUUCGGACCAAAGAUUUAUCGCCUUUGGAUGGGCCCGCGUUGGAUUAGCUAGUUGGUAGGGUAAAAGCCUACCAAGGCGACGAUCCAUAGCUGGUCUGAGAGGAUGAUCAGCCACACUGGGACUGAGACACGGCCCAGACUCCUACGGGAGGCAGCAGUGGGGAAUAUUGGACAAUGGGCGAAAGCAUGAUCCAGCAAUGCCGCGUGAGUGAUGAAGGCCUUAGGGUUGUAAAGCUCUUUUACCCGGGAUGAUAAUGACAGUACCGGGAGAAUAAGCUCCGGCUAACUCCGUG